AGUGAACGCUGGCGGUAGGCCUAACACAUGCAAGUCGAACGGCAGCACAGUAAGAGCUUGCUCUUACGGGUGGCGAGUGGCGGACGGGUGAGGAAUACAUCGGAAUCUACUUUUUCGUGGGGGAUAACGUAGGGAAACUUACGCUAAUACCGCAUACGACCUACGGGUGAAAGCAGGGGAUCUUCGGACCUUGCGCGAUUGAAUGAGCCGAUGUCGGAUUAGCUAGUUGGCGGGGUAAAGGCCCACCAAGGCGACGAUCCGUAGCUGGUCUGAGAGGAUGAUCAGCCACCCUGGAACUGAGACACGGUCCAGACUCCUACGGGAGGCAGCAGGGGGGAAUAUUGGACAAUGGGCGCAAGCCUGAUCCAGCUAUACCGCGUGGGUGAAGAAGGCCUUCGGGUUGUAAAGCCCUUUUGUUGGGAAAGAAAAGCAGCAGGUUAAUACCCCGCUGUUCUGACGGGACCCAAAGAAUAAGCACCGGCUAACUUCGU
rnacentral:rRNA from 1 species